rnacentral:misc_RNA from 1 species
GAUGAAGAACGUAGUGAAAUGCGAUAAGUAAUGUGAAUUGCAGAAUUCAGUGAAUCAUCGAAUCUUUGAACGCAUCUUGCGCUCCUUGGUAUUCCUUGGAGCAUGCCUGUUUGAGUAUCAUGAGCAAAUCUCAAAGUCAAUUCCUUUUGUUAAUUCAAUUUGGUUUUGCUUUGGACUUGGAGGUCUUGCAGAUUUCACAGUCUGCUCCUCUUAAAUGCAUUAGCUGGAUCUCAGUAAUUAUGCUUGGUUCCACUCGGCGUGAUAAGUAUCACUCGCUGAGGACACUGUUAAAAAGGUGGCCAGGAAAAUACUGAUUGAACUGCUUCUAACGGUCUAUUAAGUUAGACAAUUACCCUUAAGUUUGAUCUCAAAUCAGGUAGGACUACCCGCUGAACUUAAGCAUAUCAAUAAGCGGAGGA